AUAAUCAUUAGUCUUUUAAUUGAAGGCUUGUAUGAAUGGUUGGACAAAAAGUAAGCUGUCUCAGUUAUAAUAAUUGAAUUUAACUUUUAAGUGAAAAGGCUUAAAUGGAUUAAGGGGACGAUAAGACCCUAUAAAGCUUGACAAUAAGUUAAUUAUAUUAUAAAUUGUUAGUAUAACUUGAUUUUAAUUGACGUUUGUUACGUUGGGGCGACGAGAAUAUAAUGAGUAACUGUUUUUAAAUGUUUAAUGACAAAUAUAAUUGGUAUUUGAUUGAUCCUUUAUUAAAGAUUAAAAGAUUAAGUUACUUUAGGGAUAACAGCGUAAUCUUCUUUGAGAGUUCAUAUCGACAAGAAGGUUUGCGACCUCGAU
rnacentral:rRNA from 1 species